rnacentral:antisense_RNA from 1 species
CAUUCUCUUCAUUCAAGCGUUUAAUACCACAUUUAUCAAAGGCAACUCUCUGAUGCAAUGUUUAACAAGUGUCUUCUCAGGAGUGUAUCCGUGUCAUUUAUUCUUCUCAUCCAACUCUAGGUUGAGGAGCAGGAAACACAUAAUGAAACUCCGGCAUGACAGUACUUAAUCCACAGAACAAGGAUUUCAUCCCAUCACUUAUCUCUAAGCUCCACAAGGAGGUUUGGUACAAAGCAAUUAAAUCAUCCUUCAGGCCACCCAGCUCCCAAUGUGGGUUUUCUCCCAAACAGCUACGCUCAUUUCAGUUGUUAAAUGUGACAGUGGCUUUUAAGUACAUUGUCCCAGAAGUCCUAAACAGGAAGAAUACUGUAACCUCUCAUUUAAGAGAUCAUGAACCCUGUACUGACUGUGACGACAAUCACGAAAGUAAGCAAAGAGAAGUUCUGAGCAGUCACCAUCCCUUCACAAAUCAAAGCACUAAAGCUCACACCCAGAACCUCAAGACCGUCUAAGACCAUUUCCCCACAAUGCUAACUAGGGGACACUUCAAUAGAUAAGAUUAGAAGCAUGAACUGAGGUGGAAGGAAGCCACUAAUGGCAGAUAAGCCAAGAGGAACUAGAUGUGACAGCUGACAUCCAGAGAAGAGACAGAAACUGAUUUGGUCUCAGACUCAGAAGCCAAAGCAAUCUGAGACCCGUUUCCACAAAGGGCAAAUAGUUUUCCACACGUGAAUUGCCUUUGAGAGUAUAACAUACUAGAAUACGGCGUAACAACUGGCAUUAACGGUAAUUCGGUUUAAUUUAACAAACAGCUACCAUUCUUGUAUGUAUACUUUAUGCUAUUAAACAUAAACAUGAAUAAAUAUGUGCUUAUUAUCUUCAAAAUAACUUUAAAAAUUAAGUGGUAUUUUAGAGGCUUUGUUUAAUGAAACACUAUAUAGUUCAGAUAGAUUUUGGUUAUUUUAUCUUUAUUUUUAUCUUUUUGAGAAAGUCUCGUUGUGUCACCCUAGCUAAAGUGCAGUAGCAUCAUCUCUGCUCACUGCAACCUCUGCCUCCCAGAUUCAAGUGAUUCUCCUGCCUCAGCCUCCUGAGUAGCUGGGGCUACAGACCCGCACCACCAAAUUGGCCUGGUUAAUUUUUGUAUUUUCAGUAGAGAUGGGGUUUCACCAUGUUGGCCAGCCUGGUCUUGAACUUCUGCCCUCAAGUGAUCCACUCACCUGAGCCUCCCAAUGUGCUGGGAUUACAGGCGUGAGCCACCACACCUGGCCAGAUUUUGGUUAUGUUUUAAUUAAUAAGCUUCAAUACUUAAGGGGAUAAGCUUCAAUAGUUGGAAAAAUCAGUGCAUAUAAAAAAUCUACUUUAGAAUAGAUUUAAAAAUUAAGCAUAAAGUGCCAUAAGAACAAUGAAAUAUCUGUGUUACUGCACUGAUGGUAUUUUGUGCCCAUUUAUAGAAACUUACUGGAAUGCCCAGCCAUGUAACUCUUUAAUACCAUUUAAUACAAGAACCUAUCCUAAUGACUGCUUCAUUAAGGGACAGAAACUCUCCCUGAUGAGCUUACAAUUUAUUCAUGUCCCAACUACCUACCAACUCUCUAAGGCAAACAGUAAGGUACUUUCUUAUCUAGAAAAAUAUCCAAUAUAAACAGCAAUGUAAAGAAACACUGUUAAUUUCUCAAUGGGAACUGAAAAAAAAAAAGUGUGGCUAGAUAACUGAUUUGAAAGAGAAAAACAUGCCCACACUGAGAAUGACAAUUCACACAGGUCUGAGGGCCACGUCCAGCUCACCAUCUUCAUACAUCACCAACAGCACACACUCACAGGCAGCCGCAUGCACACCUGACCGUUAAGAAGUUUGCAAAGGAUGCGUGGUUUACCUUCCCACAGCGGAAGACUCUGCGGAGCAACUGAAGGCCAGAUGACAAGGUUGUUGGCUUCAAAGAGGGGAUUGGUGAAUUUACUCAGCUCACUGGGCUGAUUAACCCAGGACCACAAAGACAUCGUCUUCUGCUGUAGCUUCAACUUACAUCUGAUCAAGAAAGAACACUGCCAUUAAAGUAAUUAAUUUAUAACAACCAUUAUUGAGUGCUCCUCUUACUAGGACAAUUUCUUCUCAGUAUGAAAGAAGAUAGAAUACAAGACUUUUGGUAGAGAAACAAAGUGUUGAAAAAUCAAUAGAUUUGUCAAAAAGCUCAAUCGGCAUUAGAACUCUCAACAACAACAAAACAAAGAGUAUUUUACAGGCUUCCAAGAAGCUGGCAGGAGGAUAAAAACAGAAUCUGGUCACAUCAGGUUUGGUGUUAAACCUUAACCCAGAGAACAUUACUGUACACAAAAGACCUUUGUUAUAUUUGGGAUUCUAUUUUAAUUAAAAAUAGCUAAGCAUAAAAAAACUUUCUAACCUUUUUGUUUCUGAGAAGCCUAUAAUAUACACAUAAAAAUUAUACACUUUUUGACAUUUAUGUCCUAUUUAUUUUUCUAGUUUCUGUAAGAAAGGGCUUGUUGUGCAGAAACAACCAGGAUAGCUUACAAAUAUCAAUGUCUGGAAAGACCCCCAGGGUCUUCAUUAUUUACAUUGUUUGAUAACCACUUUCUAAUUGUUUUUUUUUAAUUUUUUAUUUUAAUUUUUCCAUAAGUUAUUGGGGAACAGGUGGUAUUUGGUUACAUGAGUAAGUUCCGUAGUGGCGAUUUGUGAGAUUCUGGUGCACCCAUCACCCGAGCAGUAUACACUGAACCCUAUUUGUAGUCUUUUAUCCCUUGUCCCCCUUCUGUCCCUCCCCCAAGUCCCCAAAGUCCACUGUAACCUUCUUACGCCCAUAUUAAUAUUAAAAAUGGAGGUUGAGUCAAAUCUCAAACAAAACUUAAAAUUUUUUAGAGACUUAGCUUUCAGGGAAAAUAACUUACAUGUACAUAAAAUACAGAUUGUCAAAGAUGAAAAAUCAAUGUGAAUCUUGACGUAAAUACAUAUUUAAUCUAUAUCCACAUACAAUGAACAGGCUUCAUAAUAAUUCUAAAACUCUGGAACACUCUUUAUCAUGUAAUAAACUGUUAGAGAAGGAUAAUAGUCAAUCGGCAUGUUUUAGAAAAAAAUACAUUUUAACACAGAUUGAAAGACAGUCUGUGGUAAACCUUACAUCAACCAAAAAGAUAAUACAUUCAAUUCUCAUAAGACUCAGUUUAAGCUGAGAUUUUAUUAUAAAAUCAGUUUUGUCUCUGAAACCACAUGAUUACUUAUGAGCUACGUGCAACUUACUGCAUUCUUUUUGAGCUAGCAAUAAAAAUAAUCCACAUAAUCACAGAGCCUAUGUGGCACUGGACUUUAACUGCUGGGAUAGCAUGUCCCACGCUAUGUUCCCAGGAACAAGGGAUGACAAGGACAGGACAUUAUUGCAUCCACUGCCUCCAGCCCUGUGCCCCCUGCCCAUGGCCGGCCAACCACUGAACUUGCUCUGGCUGAGCCUGACACCACUUCAGAAUCCUUCCCAUCAGCAUUGCUGGCAGCCUCUACCAACUGGGAAACAGAAUGGGAAUCUAUUUUGAUCCCUUCAUGAAAGCUAGUCCUGAGGAUAUUAACAGGUAUAACACCAAAAAAAAUUCAUCAUCAAACACAUUUCUUUAAUGCUGAAUUAAACUUAUAUACAUUGCUUUACUGAAGGGUGUCUUAAAGCCUUUAAUGAUUAUGCGUUAAUCCUUAAAUCCUCCCCUCUAAGUGGGGAGGAUAUUAUGUCAUAUUCACCAAACUUCCUCGGCUAUAGAAAUUGCCAAUCCCUCCUGUCCCUCCCUGCCAGAGUACAGUCCAGGGCUAAGCAACACGUGCUUCAGAAAAUGGUGGCUGCCAGCAAUGAGGCAAGGAAGUCUGGUGAUUGUACCCUGAAGAGAUUACCAGGCAACCUCCCUGAAAGAUCAUUCUGGUGUGAAUCUUCUAAAUGAACCUAUACACUUGAUGGUGCCUGGGCUGUAAGGUGAGCUUGUCACUCUGGCCGGAGGACAGUUUCUAGGUGUAACAAAGUCUAGAGCAGGAGGAGGAAGACCUGUAAUUUAGGCCAGGGAUCCCCAAACCCCAGGCCAUGGACCAGUAAGGGUCCGUGGCCUGUUAGGAACUGGCCACACAGCAGGAGGUGAGUGGCAGAUGAGCGCGUAUUUCCACCUCCUGUCAGAUCAGCAUCAGCAUUAGAUUCUCAGAGAAGCGCAAACCCAACUGUGAGCUGCGCAUGUGGGGAAUCUAGGGUGCGCCUUUAUGAGAAUUCUCCUUAUGAGAAUCUAAUGCCUGAUGAUCUGAGAUGGAUCAGUUUCACCCCAAAACCAUCACCAAUCCCGCUGCCACCCAAUCCAAAGAAAAGUUGUUAUCCACAAAACUGGUCCCUGGUGCCAAAAUGGUUGGGGAUCGCUGCUCUAGGCCACACUUUUGAUGACCAGCUGGCUCUAUGUCCUGGGAAAAGUCACGUAACUUCUCUGGAUCUUACUUUCUUAAUAAAAUUAGAGGGAAGACCUGAAUUAUAAAUCAAGGCUUUUUCCACAUGUAAGGUAAUAUGAUCCUAUGUAAAGAAAUUAACAUUUAAAAUGGUUGCCCCUUAAUUCAUGUAUGGACUAAUUUUAACCUAACAGAACAAAGUCUAGGACAUGCUCUCAUAAAGGAAUAUACUUCAGGUCAUUUAACUUAUAAUUAAUUGUAGCCUCUACCUCUUUAUAAAUAAUUUUAAUAUAGAUCCAAAUCGUGGUCUCCUAAGAGAUUCUGGCUACUUAGGAAGUAGCCAAAACAAUGGAAAAGGAAAGGUCCCCAUAUGAGCAGUGUACUCACCUUUCACUUUCAUUGUUGCCCAGAAAUGUUCCAAACUGUGAGGCAUAAGCAUGCUCAAAGAGCAUGAUGAGGAAAUUCUCAUUAAAUUCAAAAGAACAGGGAAACUGACGAAGGAUCUGCCACACGCAGUCCAAGAAGAGAAGAAAUACAGGAGCCUCCCACUUCUGCUUCGUGUUACAGUAGGCUGACUGUGCACAGCGCUGCUGGAACGGGUGACCAGCCUAGGGGGAAGAUGGAGGCGUGACAGUCAUAUCCUGGUGAGAUCACAUGACAGAGCAUUCUACCGACACCAGUACACACAAUCACAGAACCGACACCACUACACACAGUUACAGUGACACUCCUAGUACCUGGAACAUCAUAUAAUUAGGGUAGCUGUUGUACAGAUUAAUGACUUCUUGGUAUAAAAUAAAUAGCGGCAGCAACUAAGGAAAAAGACACACUUCCAAAACCUUAAUGAGGCUGCGCAGCUAAGGUGUGACCACAGGAACUGCACUGCCCUUGGAAUAUCCCAUGGAAGAAUAAUGAACUUAAGCAAUAACAAACUUACAAAAUAAACCUUUCUAGGUCUACAAAACCUGGAGCAAAGUCAAAGAACAUAAGCUCUCAGUACAAAGAAGAAUCAUCACCUCUGUCUAACACUGUAGAUUGUGCUGUACACUAAACAAGCCUCACCCUAAGUGGAGACAGAUAUGGAACUCUGAUCACCUUUAUAAUGUCAGCUCUGAUAGUAAAUCUCUAAUUAUAUAUGCAAAGUUAUUGUGUUGAAAGAUCUUUAUGAGUACUUUUCUACAGGAGAUAAAGCUGUCAUUAAUUACCCUCUUCUCCCAAAAUGAACAGCAAGAGUCUGCCAUCUACUGACCAAAGUAAAUUUAAGACUCAUUUGACUGUCUUGUUCAGAAUCCAAAUGCUGACCUUAAUACAAAUCAUACUCUGCUAGGAAUUUCACAGAUCUGCUUUGUCUCUGGGUCCUUUUACUACUGUAUGUGACAAAGGUAAUGCCAUAGAAAUUUUACAGUGGUUCACAGAAUUGUGAUAUCCAUUAAAAUAACAUAUAAAUCA